UAAUUUGAUUGAUUUCCCCUACUUCUUAUUCAAUUUUCUAGAUCCGAAUAAACUGUUAUUAUCGAACAAUUACUAACCCAUGAAAAAUGGGGCGAUAUGGAUGUAGAUGAGAACGAUGAUGACAAUUAUUAUCGAACAACAACAUCAAUUUUAUAUUCUUGGGGUCCCGAUGAUACUAAGGAUAAGAAAGAAAUUCAUACCCUGUUGAAAAGCUAGAUUUGUACGAAGAGAAACUACAACGGUUUAUGGUGUAAGAUUUAUUAAAUAGGUUUUAAGGAGCAAAAGAAUAUGUUAGAGGUACAUUGUCAUGUCAAAUAUACCAAUGGAUCAGUGGGAUCCCUUUCGAAUCAUCAAAGAACAAAUGUUUCCCUAACAACAACAAGAUUUGGUUUCAUCGACGAGUUCAAAUGUUUGGGUUUAGUUUUAUGUCUUUUGAUACAAUUUUGGUCCUAUUAUUCUUAUCAAACUGCUUAUAGAUAAACUUAUGCCUACGAAGAAGGAAGAUAGUUCUUUCGGUAUUAAGUUUCAAUCAAGAAGCCUUUGUCGAGCUUUUGGAUGAAAAAUGUGCCAAACUCCUGUGGGUAUCUCGAAUUAAUCCAUUAAGAUUUUACUAAAUUCUAUUUCGCUUUAUGCAUUUAUAGCACAGUUUGAUUUUAACACCAACGGAGAUGAAUGUUCUAAUAAAUUAAAAGA